UACGUAGGGUGCGAGCGUUAAUCGGAAUUACUGGGCGUAAAGCGUGCGCAGGCGGUUAUAUAAGACAGUUGUGAAAUCCCCGGGCUCAACCUGGGAAUUGCAUCUGUGACUGUAUAGCUAGAGUACGGUAGAGGGGAUGGAAUUCCGCGUGUAGCAGUGAAAUGCGUAGAGAUGUGGAGGAAUACCGAUGGCGAAGGCAGCCUCCUGGGCCAACACUGACGCUCAUGCACGAAAGCGUGGGGAGCAAACAGG
rnacentral:rRNA from 1 species